rnacentral:rRNA from 1 species
CCGCGGUAAUACGGAGGGUGCAAGCGUUAAUCGGAAUUACUGGGCGUAAAGCGCACGCAGGCGGUCUGUCAAGUCGGAUGUGAAAUCCCCGGGCUCAACCUGGGAACUGCAUUCGAAACUGGCAGGCAACAAAGCCCGCCCGGCUAAGCUGAUUGAUAAUUUUGACCAUAUGAUUACGGGACACGCCGUAGACUUCUGUCACCUCAGAAAUGCUGGUCAUUCGUCCAUCUGGUAACGACGCCAUAUAGAUUAGCG